GAUGAACGCUGGCGGCGUGCCUAAUACAUGCAAGUCGAGCGAACAGACGAGGAGCUUGCUCCUCUGACGUUAGCGGCGGACGGGUGAGUAACACGUGGAUAACCUACCUAUAAGACUGGGAUAACUUCGGGAAACCGGAGCUAAUACCGGAUGAUAUAUUGAACCGCAUGGUUCAAUAGUGAAAGACGGUUUUGCUGUCACUUAUAGAUGGAUCCGCGCCGCAUUAGCUAGUUGGUAAGGUAACGGCUUACCAAGGCAACGAUGCGUAGCCGACCUGAGAGGGUGAUCGGCCACACUGGAACUGAGACACGGUCCAGACUCCUACGGGAGGCAGCAGUAGGGAAUCUUCCGUAAUGGGCGAAAGCCUGACGGAGCAACGCCGCGUGAGUGAUGAAGGUCUUCGGAUCGUAAAACUCUGUUAUUAGGGAAGAACAAAUGUGUAAGUAACUAUGCACGUCUUGACGGUACCUAAUCAGAAAGCCACGGCUAACUACGU
rnacentral:rRNA from 1 species